AGCUAGCAUCACUUUUGAAAUAAAUUGCUUCUAAUAAAAACUCUUGCAUUCUUAGUUUCUAGAGUGCGUCUAGUUGCUAACACUGGCUGCUAUCCAACUUCGAUCUGUUCAGCUUCCCCUUGUUCCAUUGUUUGAGGUUAAUCUCAUUCAAUCUAAAAUAUUAUUAUUGACUCAAAAUCGGGUGUUAGUGGAGCAGGACGUGGUGCCAAGGAGGCUAAUUUGUACACUGAAAUAGUUGAAGGCAUAUAUUCUUAUAGCAUUACUCAUCAUCAUCGUGGUAAAAUUUUGAAUUUGCUGGAAUUUGGAUUGUUCACUUCUUGGUAGCUACUUGAAUGAACUUGAGAAAUUAACUAUGUUUAUGUUUGUUGGAAUUUGUAUCUCUCGAUUUUGACAAAAGAUUUUGAUAAUAUCUCUCAAAAUUUUUUGCCAGCUAUUAUCACUGCAAUUCUCCCCUGGUCAUUUCAGAGAAAGGGUACGUGCUAAAUGCUAUGUUAGCAGAAUGUUUUUAAUGGCUACACGAAUGCAAAAGGAUAUUUAUGUUUGUAACAUGCUCAAUAUACAAAUCCAUACUCAUUUGUA